rnacentral:rRNA from 1 species
GAUGAACGCUGGCGGCGUGCCUAACACAUGCAAGUCGAGCGAUUUACUUCGGUAAAGAGCGGCGGACGGGUGAGUAACGCGUGGGUAACCUGCCCUGUACACACGGAUAACAUACCGAAAGGUAUGCUAAUACGAGAUAAUAUGCUUUUAUCGCAUGGUAGAAGUAUCAAAGCUUUUGCGGUACAGGAUGGACCCGCGUCUGAUUAGCUAGUUGGUGAGGUAACGGCUCACCAAGGCGACGAUCAGUAGCCGACCUGAGAGGGUGAUCGGCCACAUUGGAACUGAGACACGGUCCAAACUCCUACGGGAGGCAGGAGUGGGGAAUAUUGCACAAUGGGCGAAAGCCUGAUGCAGCAACGCCGUGUGAGCGAUGAAGGCCUUCGGGUCGUAAAGCUCUGUCCUCAAGGAAGAUAAUGACGGUACUUGAGGAGGAAGCCCCGGCUAACUACGUG